rnacentral:rRNA from 1 species
CUACGUGCCAGCAGCCGCGGUAAUACGUAGGGUGCGAGCGUUAAUCGGAAUUACUGGGCGUAAAGCGGGCGCAGACGGUUACUUAAGCAGGAUGUGAAAUCCCCGGGCUCAACCUGGGAACUGCGUUCUGAACUGGGUGACUAGAGUGUGUCAGAGGGAGGUAGAAUUCCACGUGUAGCAGUGAAAUGCGUAGAGAUGUGGAGGAAUACCGAUGGCGAAGGCAGCCUCCUGGGAUAACACUGACGUUCAUGCUCGAAAGCGUGGGUAGCAAACAGGAUUAGAUACCCUGGUAGUCCACGCCCUAAACGAUGUCAAUUAGCUGUUGGGCAACUUGAUUGCUUAGUAGYGUAGCUAACGCGUGAAAUUGACCGCCUGGGGAGUACGGUCGCAAGAUUAAAACUCAAAGGAAUUGACGGGGACCCGCACAAGCGGUGGAUGAUGGGAUUAAUUCGAUGCAACGCGAAGAACCUU